GACGUAGGGCGCGAGCGUUGUCCGGAUUUAUUGGGCGUAAAGAGCUCGUAGGCGGCUUGUCGCGUCGAAUGUGAAAACUCGGGGCUCAACUCCGAGCUUGCAUUCGAUACGGGCAGGCUAGAGUUCGGUAGGGGGAGACUGGAAUUCCUGGUGUAGCGGUGAAAUGCGCAGAUAUCAGGAGGAACACCGGUGGCGAAGGCGGGUCUCUGGGCCGAUACUGACGCUGAGGAGCGAAAGCGUGGGGGAGCGAACAGG
rnacentral:rRNA from 1 species